CUCUUCCCCAGUUCCCCUCCGACUUCUUCCUCUCCAGCUGCGCCGGAAAGAACAUCAAAGAUACUAAAUCAGAAUAAUCUCUCCUCCUUCGACGCCAGCAUCAUCCUAUGAAACCAACCUUAAACAUCUCUGUUUCUACCUCCGCAAUUCCAGCCUCGCAAAACCCUCAAUCAAGCCCAGCUUCAGAACCCCAUCCUCCUAAGCUAGUUCCCGGCAGCAACCCUCGUCUUCUAUGGCAAUAUAGACACAAUCUAUAGCAUGCAGUUAGAUAUGGAGUAUCUAAACAAUAAUCAUAAAGAGAAAAGAGAUAGAUAAUCAGAAAUGAGAGAAAAGAUGGAUCUGCACAAGUCCUAAGAUAGUUCAGCCUUUAAGUUUCAAAGGACUCAUCCUCCCAGAUACCAUCCUGGGCAGUAUAGCCACUUUCAGCCUUUAAGUUUCAAAGGACUCAUCCUCCCAGAUACCAUCCUGGGCAGUAUAGCCACUGGUGAAUAUAACAGCAUUCCCACACUCUGUAGAUUAAUGAAGAUUAAUGAUUAAAAAAAAAAGCUUACCUGUUCGUGGAAGACUACCUCUUUGCUCUUAAUUUCAGAAGAGCCUUUCCGUGGAAGGAAGCUCUUGAAGGUAGAUAAAUUCUUGGCGAGGUAGUGCAUUCCCAUGGUCGAAAGCAAAAAUGCAAAGCAGAAAUUUGGAGAAUGAUUUUGAAUGAUAGUUAACCUGUAAUAUAUAGUGUGUAAUAGAUGUCUUAGAGUGAAAGAGUUCUAUAUGUAUAUUAAAUAGUUUUGAAUUCCCGGUGAGAGUGAAAGAGUUCCAUAA